CCUACGGGAGGCAGCAGUGGGGAAUAUUGGACAAUGGGGGGAACCCUGAUCCAGCCAUGCCGCGUGUGUGAAGAAGGCCCUCGGGUUGUAAAGCACUUUCAGUGAGGAAGAACGCCUGGUGGUUAAUACCCAUCAGGAAAGACAUCACUCACAGAAGAAGCACCGGCUAACUCCGUGCCAGCAGCCGCGGUAAUACGGAGGGUGCGAGCGUUAAUCGGAAUUACUGGGCGUAAAGCGCGCGUAGGUGGCUUGAUAAGCCGGUUGUGAAAGCCCCGGGCUCAACCUGGGAACGGCAUCCGGAACUGUCAAGCUAGAGUGCAGGAGAGGAAGGUAGAACUCCCGGUGUAGAGGUGAAAUGCGUAGAGAUCGGGAGGAAUACCAGUGGCGAAGGCGGCCUUCUGGACUGACACUGACACUGAGGUGCGAAAGCGUGGGUAGCAAACAGGAUUAGAUACCCUAGUAGUC
rnacentral:rRNA from 1 species